CUUAAUACUAUUCUAUCUACUUUUAAGACUUGCUAGAAAACUUUCAUUAUAAAAAUGACCCAUAAAUUCAUUAUCCAGAUUUCAUUACUACGAACAUUUUUGUGUGGUUCCAUAUAAUCUUUUCCAUAUUAGUGUUUUAUUUUCGAAAUGCUGCUACAUUCAGUGAGUACUUGUUUCAUUACCUGAUAAAACUUGACAACGUUUGUUUUCACCUGCUGGCCCUUAAAAAGAAGGGAAUAAUCCGAACUUUUGUUAGGGAUAGGGUUUAAAUCCCAAAAUGAAAAUAAAUGAAAAAUGCCUAGAAUACUAAAGUGUUGCAGUGUUGUAACCACCUAGCCCAGUGCCUAGUACUCAGUAAAUAAAUGGAACCUCAGUAAAUGAGCAGAAUUCAGACAUGAUGUGUUAUCAUCAUGACCUCAUAUAUUAGGAAUUUUGACCUCAUAUAUUAGGAAUUCCAGAGUGAAUCCACAUCAUCCUGAGUUGAGACAGAGGUUGCUUUACUUCCUGAGUAGCUUUUGAAUCUUGAGUUUUACAUCAUGGAUGUAGCUAUAGAUUCUCUCACUGCCCCUUUCAUGAAUGGAAGGCUGGCCGUUUUGGGGGGUGAAGGGGAAACUUAUGUCAUUAUCAACUUGUUUGCUUCCUUGCCAAGCCAAGAUCUCCUUCAGGAACCAUAUCUGAGUCACUGGAAAAGCAGAAAAAAGGAGCGGCAACAUUUCAGGACUUCUUGGGUGGAAGAAAGUUGGCAGAGAGAAAGUCCACACUGGAUUGUGAAAAUCCUCCAAUUGUUGUGUAUGGAACACCAUGAAUGGAAAUAUUUUCAGGACAUCCUGAAGCUCUAAAGCUUAAUAUUUACACAUGAUUGCUUGUGGACAAUUUGACUACUUCCAAAGAGGAAAGCCAAGACCUAUUCAGAAGUAGAAGACAGCACUCCAAACAAGGGAUCACCUCAGUCGCUCUGAAGGUAACCUGGCCUUGUUUUUGAUGGAUUGCAAUGAGUAUCUGCCUUUUACAAAACAAUAUGCAAUUGUUAUUAAGAAGCCAAAUGGGUAAAGAAAAAGGGAUUGUAUGCCACUGGGAAUUGGGGAAAUCAAUGAAAACAAAAUCUUGAAAGUUGAUUACCAGCAGUUCUAGUAUUUUACUGCUGGGCUCAACUAGAUUCAGUAAUGAACCUGGUGAAUCUUGAGCUAGUGAAAAGACAGAGUACCUGAGCAGCCACCCUCCAGUAUGUCAGAGAGCAGCAGGGACUCGGGUCCUUGGAUUUCCCGGUGCCUUUUCCUAAGUUAGCUGUUUUUAUUACUGACAGAGAGAAGAAGCAGAAACACAUCACUUUAAAGUAGUGUUUCCCAAACCUAUUGCCCAGACCCCUUUAUACUCUUAAAAACCAAUGAGACCAAAGAGCUUUUUGUUUAUU
rnacentral:lncRNA from 1 species